rnacentral:rRNA from 1 species
GACAGGAGGUCCCGAGCGUUUAGGCGGAAUCACGUGGGCUUAAAGCGUGUGUAGGCGGAGUGCUAAGUACCUUGUGAAAUCCCACGGCUCAACCCGUGGAACUGCUUGGUAUACUGGUUCUCUUGAGCCACCUAGGGGCAACCGGAACAAACGGUGGGAGCGGAUGAAAUGCGUAGAUAUCGUUUGGAACGCCAAUGGUGAAAACAGGUUGCUGGGGGUGUGCUGACGCGUGAGACACGAAAGCCAGGGGAGCAAACGGG